GACGAACGCUGGCGGCGUGCUUAACACAUGCAAGUCGAACGGAAAGGCCCUGCUUUUGUGGGGUGCUCGAGUGGCGAACGGGUGAGUAACACGUGAGUAACCUGCCCUUGACUUUGGGAUAACUUCAGGAAACUGGGGCUAAUACCGGAUAGGAGCUCCUGCUGCAUGGUGGGGGUUGGAAAGUUUCGGCGGUUGGGGAUGGACUCGCGGCUUAUCAGCUCGUUGGUGGGGUAGUGGCUUACCAAGGCUUUGACGGGUAGCCGGCCUGAGAGGGUGACCGGCCACAUUGGGACUGAGAUACGGCCCAGACUCCUACGGGAGGCAGCAGGGGGGAAUAUUGCACAAUGGGCGGAAGCCUGAUGCAGCAACGCCGCGUGCGGGAUGACGGCCUUCGGGUUGUAAACCGCUUUCGCCUGUGACGAAGCGUGAGUGACGGUAAUGGGUAAAGAAGCACCGGCUAACUACGUG
rnacentral:rRNA from 1 species